UGCGCUCGAGCUCGGGAGACCUUCACGAUGGCCACCGAUGAGACCACUGAUCCGAGACCGGUGGCGAAGUCGAAGAAGGCGAAGGCCCCCAAGGAGGCCAGGGCCAAGAAGGCUGCCGCCCCCAGGAAGCCUUCCGCCCAUCCUCCCUACGCCGAGGUGAGGAUCUUAUCUUCUUGGAGCCUUAGUUUGCUUUCGCUUGGCCCGUUUCCGUGGAUCUGAAGCUGUUUUCUUUGGUGCUUAGAUGAUCAAGGAGGCGAUCACAACGCUCAAGGAGAGAACCGGGUCGAGCCCGUACGCCAUCGGGAAGUUCAUCGAGGACAAGCACAAGGCUCACCUCCCGUCCAACUUUCGAAAGAUCCUCUUCCUCCAGCUGAAGAAGCUCGCCGCCGCCGGGAAGCUCACCAAGGUGAAGAGCUCCUACAAGCUCUCUACCAUCGUGCAUGCCGCGCCGGCUGAGCCCAAGUCUGCGGCGGGCCCCAAGAAACCAGCCGCCGUACAGACGAAGCUUAAGGCUAAGGCGAAGCCUGCCGCUGCCGCUUCGAAAACCAAGGCCAAGAUCGCUACCACUGCGAAGGCUAAAUCCAAGCAUGUAGCAUCUACGGUCAAGCCCAAACCGAAGGCGGCCGCGGCGAAGCCGAGGGUGGCCCCGAAGCGCAAGUCCCCGGUGAAGCCUAAGCCCAAGCCCAAGCCUAGGCCGACCAGGGCCGCGAAGACCACCGCGAAGGAGUCCCCGGGGAAGAAGGCAGCAAAGAGAACGUCGAGUCGGUCGGCGCCCACGAAGAAGCCGAAGCCAGCGGUGAAGAAAGCGGCGGCGGCGGC
rnacentral:lncRNA from 1 species